GAAUUCAUUAUAUCAUCUGCUUUGGUUUUGCUACCUAUGAACUCCUUCUGUCCAUUGUCAUUUUCAGUAUGUCCCGUGAAGUAACGGAUCAUUAAGGUGACUAGAACAAGAAAAGCCACUAACAGACCUACGUUCCCGAUAUAUUUGGUAAGCUUAUUUAACCGAUGCUGUAGUGGCGUUUGCUCAUUCUUGUCAUCUGUUAUUGUGCACAUUAUCUGACCCCAUGCAUUGUUUAUACCUACCGACGUGACAAGCAUGUGUCCAUAUCCGUCCAUUACCUUUGUUCCACCCACCAAAAAGGGGUUUUGUGUCUCGUUAAUUUGAACAUGGUCACUUUCACCUGCAGAAGUAAAUCCAAAAUAUACAUUUAGGGGGUCCUUUGGUAGAGUGCAUUAGUUAAAAUAAUGCACACAUUAGCUUUAUGUAUUACUAAUACCUUGUUUGGUACGAUUACUCAACCUAUGUAUAACUAUAAUAUAUACAUGGAAAAUCAUGUUAUUAGCAACGCAAAGGGUUCUAAUAUGCAUUAGCAUGUUUAAAGAUGCAAUUGACCCUCAAAACCUUUUCCAAGUCCUUUCCACCGUAUUUGUGGUGGAUAUUUUUGUAAACAAAUAAUUUGUUUUUGGAAAUUAUGCAACACAUUAUUUUUAAUAGACCAAAUCAAACUCUGCAUAAGAAAUAACCUCAGCAUAACCCAUAAUAGCAUUACUAAUGUGCCGUAUGCGCCUUCUGUGUUCUUUAUUAUAUAGGUUCAAUACUUAAUAUUUAUCUUACUUUUUUUUUUUUUUUACAUUAAUAUCUAUUGUUUAUACUGAGAGUGACAUUUUCAAUUAUAUUCAUUCCCUAGACUAGGUCUGCCUAUAUUCACCUGUCAUGCAGGACUCGUCUACUUGCAGCGAAUGGCCAUCCAAGAAGAGUCCAUCUGCUGGGAUCUGAUCGCCGAUUUUGAGACAGACAACAUCACCCACAACAAUAUCAUAGAUAGAUACUUCCUGUCUACGUCCGUCUCUCAUUACUUCUACUUUUAUAUCCUUGCUCUCAUCCGAAAGCUUCAGAAACUGUCUGCUUUGUUUGAAGUUACUGAUAGAAGAGACUGCAAGGACAAGAACAACUGCAACGAUGAUACUUCCGCCAUCAUACCACCCUUCCUUUGGCCCGUGUUGUUUAAUCCCAAAGCCAAGGGAUAAAACAGCGCACACAAGAAGGACGAUAAUGGUGGUGUCUUUGAAAGCUUCAACGACGAAACUCAGGAAACUCUUGGCUGGUGGCUUGUCAUAAAUAUUGGAACCAAAAGUAUCCUUUCUUUGUCUUAGUUCAUUCUCGUGCAUUGUUAUACCUGCUUUAAGAUGUGAUCCAAGAAUUUCUCCGACUCGUCUCACUCCUCCAAAUUGGAGUAGUCCAUUGAAGUCUUUCUCUCUGACCAACUUGGCAAGUGCUUCUUUGUUGAUGCCAUGAAAAAGUUGUUUCUCAUGAUCAUUGAUGCUUUCAAUGUUGAUGACAUAGGAUGGAUCACGCAACAACCGGGAAAAGACUAAUGUGUUUCUGUCAAUCCUUUUCUUUGUCAAGAAACUCACAAAACAUAUGGCUCUAAACACCAACUGCAACCUUUUGUGAGGUUUUCCCAAGGGACUGUCCUUUUCAUUGCUUAAAAACAUGAUGCUAUCACUGUGUUUGGAUGGGUGCAUAGCCAUUAUUAGAAUUUUUUUUGCACAAAAACAAUAUAGUUAAUUGUUACUGCUGGUAAAUAUUUUGAACUGUCUACUACUGGCAGGCAGUGUGCUUUUGUAUUUGUAGAUAGAUACAUAACCUAGCAAAAGAAAUUUCCAUGCAAUUUCCAGGAAUUUACAAGUACUUUAUUAGGUGAUAUAUGCGUGUUAUUCCUAACAUCAAUGCCAAAGAUAAGGAUAAGUAAAAUAGGAAGA
rnacentral:lncRNA from 1 species